rnacentral:rRNA from 1 species
CGCGUAGGCGGCUCGAAACGUCUGUUGUGAAAUCGCCCGGCUCAACUGGGCGGGGUCAGCGGAUACGAUCGAGCUUGAGCAAGCUAGGGGGCAAUGGAAUUCCCGGUGUAGUGGUGGAAUGCGUAGAUAUCGGGAGGAACACCAGUGGCGAAGGCGGUUGCCUGGGGCUUUGCUGACGCUGAUGCGCGAAAGCGUGGGGAGCGAUCC